rnacentral:rRNA from 1 species
UACAGAGGGGGCAAGCGUUGUUCGGAAUUACUGGGCGUAAAGGGCGCGUAGGCGGCCGCCUAAGUCAGACGUGAAAUCCCUCGGCUCAACCGGGGAACUGCGUCUGAUACUGGGUGGCUUGAAUCCGGGAGAGGGAUGCGGAAUUCCAGGUGUAGCGGUGAAAUGCGUAGAUAUCGUAAGGAAGACCAGUGGCGAAGGCGGGUCUUUGGACAGUUCCUGACGCUGAGGCACGAAGGCCAGGGGAGCAAACGGG